rnacentral:pre_miRNA from 1 species
CUAGGACACAGGGUGAUGACCUAUGAAUUGACAGCCAGUGUUUGCAGUCCAGCUGCCUGUCAGUUCUGUAGGCCACUGCCCUGUU